CGCCUCCCGGGUUCACGCCAUUCUCCUGCCUCAGCUUCCCGAGACUACAGGCGCCUGCCACCACGCCCGGCCACGCAAGUGGGAGAAGGGAAAAUGAAAUCAAGAAGGUCAUUGUCCAAGUAUUCUCACUUGUUUCUUAUCAGGGAUGAAAAUCCACAACUGAAGUUGAAGAUAGACUAAGCGGUAAACAUGGUCAGUGCCACUUUGUGGAAGAGCAGCAAGAAUCAUCUUACUCGGGCAUUUAUUCCAUGUAACUCUAUUUCAGAACUCUAAACUGACUCCAAAUCAAGUUUAAUAAUGGUCCUUCAUUGAAGUCUGAACUUCAAACCAUGGACUUCAAGUGCCUCUGUCAAUCUAUUUCUCAACUUACUAAUUGUUCUCAUUUCUUAUUUGUAACUAAUCACUGACAGUGCAUAAAAUGUGGCUUGAGCAUGAAGAAAGAAACAUAUAUAGAGAUAAUAAUUUCCUCAAUUUAGUGAAACUUACAGUCUUUUUUCUUUACCAAAAAAUGGUCCGUUUGUAAUUAAUAUUAAUUACUUGAAACUGUAAUGAUCCUCAUCAACUUCAUGAAUCAGCUAUGUAUGUGCCUUAGAAGAAGUCUACUUCAUCUCCAACCAAAGUAUAAGCCUUAUUGGUCAAAAGGCAAUCUCAUUUUCCUUGUCAGCUCUUGGUUCAAAAAGAACAUGCAACCCAGUUUCCACCAAUAAGACUUGAUGACAAGUUUGCUGGGAUGGAGAGCAUCUUUAGAAAAAUUUUCCUCCUCACUAAGAGUGGAGCACAAAAAGUUAUAAUGUCUCUUCUUUUUCUAAACAUAGUCACAUAAGGGACCACUGCAACCACACCUUUACCAUCCUGAGGAAGAAAGAUGGCAGACCUGAGGACUGGAAAGAAAGCACAUUUGACAUCAAAUUUCUUAAACAACUUAGAAACCAAUUUUUCUCUAAAUUUCUGUCUCUAAAUGUUUUCUCUAAAUUAUGUGAGAUAAUACCUUUCUCUGUUAGGCAAGUCUCUAAAGUUUUUCUUUUCCUUGAAGCAGAGAUUAUCCUAAUACAAAUGGGGUAAGGAUUAUUUCAGCUGAAAAUACGGAAUUGUUUAGUUAGUGUUUUUCCAUGUACAUUGGCCCUCUCAAAAAUUAUUUCUUUAUAUGAAAAUACAUUUUGUUAAUAUCGUGUAUAUACUACAUAAUUCCAAGGAACAUAUAAUAUUUGUCUGUAUCCAUUUCACUGUACUGAGUCAUCUGACUGGGAACCUGGUGUUUGGCAAAAAUCCUAACACAAAAUAUAGGCUAUUCAAAGCUUCACUAUAUUACUGGGAGCGGAAACGGCUGUUUGUAAAGUUCUUUUGUGACAACAUUUUUGUGAUAUAUGAAAUAAAAACAAAUGGAUUGAAUUUCUCAUAAAUCAGUGUUUAAAGUAACCAAAAUAAUGAGAGAAAAUUGUUUUUUGCCAAAAAAGAUAUAUUUUAAGUAUCACUGAAGUCAUUUCCAGCUUCUCUUUUCUAAUCCCAAUAAAUUCACUACUGAAAAUUAUGAAAGGGUUGUACAUAGCUAAAACCAAGGUUACAAAUGUGUGUGAAAAAUCUUGGCAAGUCACGUUAAAAUACAGAAUGGCACCAUGGCCUGGGUGAAGAGCAAUACUUAUUCUCCUAAUUAAAUAUAAGCAAACCUCUGAUUUCUACCUGACUCACCAAUUUGGAAUGUAGCUUUUUUGAAAUGUUUGUACCAAAAGAAAGACUAAUUGUUUUAACUUUUAAAUGAUAAAGUAACAUGCCUUAUUUCUCUCCAGACACAUUCCACUGGAACAAUAGCUAGAGAUAAUCUGUUACUCUCAGGAUAUCCUCUCAGUGUAAAUUGGGAUUUUGCAGUUCAUAACCCAUAACCAAUAGUAUAAACAAGAUGAAAUAUAGCCAUUUGUAGAGAGAGUUGCCAAAAAGAUGUGUUUUCUGUUUUCUUCAUUAUGAUCAUUUAAAAUUUUUUCAUUAAAACUUUCUUGUACUUAUUUCUUUUCUUGAAGAUAUAUUUGAAAUAAUUCAUCCGUAGGAUUCUUAGGAUUUAAACAACAGCAAGAACAAACACAACAACUUUAUUUUUUAGUGUCAUUAAUUCAAAUAGGUUAGAUUUCACUUACCAAAUCAUUCAACUUUAAUUUUUAAGCACUUAACAUAAGACAAGUACUGUAUUCAAUGCAGAAAGCAUGAUAGUAAGAUAGACACUAAGCCUAUGUCUCUGCAUUUUUCAGUCUUUAAAAGGGCAGAAAAGUAAACAAACCGUAACACCAAAUGUAUUUAGAGCUACAAUACAGGAAGUGCAAAAUCUAGUAAAAUCACAGAGCAGGAGCAAUGAGCUAGUUUAUGAGGUCAAGGAAGAUUCCUAGAGGAAAUGAUAUUUAAUUCAUGUUUUCAAAUUUG
rnacentral:lncRNA from 10 species